AAGAAGAUGAAAAAUGACGAACGUCCAAUAGAUCCAACUCCUAAUAUAAUCUUCCUUUAACCAUUUUCUGUUCUUGCAUAAAACACUUAUCUUAUUGUCAAGCCACUUGUAAACAUUAUGACCCGCUUGCUUUAUACUGUGGAAACAUAAUGCAAUUGCUUUUCCAAUGGCUUCAAAGACAACUCCAAUGCGAAAAACCUUGAUAAAUCCGUCAAAGGACAUGUGUAUGAAACCCUUGGUGUGAUGGAUCCGCUUCGGCGUUAUCGAACGACAAUACUCUAGCAAGUUGUGUGCAUGUACGUACUCAGACCACCUACGUACCAUAACGAAAGUGUCAAGGACUUCAUGACACGUUUUGUCCGUUCUAUCCUUCUCAACGCCUUCGUCCUUCUUCAGCCUCAUGAAAAUGAGAAUUGGCUUUAUAAUCUUGCCGAACCAGUUAACUUUGUUGUCCUCAUCCGUAGACGAUUUGAAGCAUUUGUACUUCUCCGUCUUCAAUCCCCUGGCCCCAAGAAUCCAGUUAAGAAAGUUGUCCAACUUAGUGUCAGGAUCAUCAACCUCGUCCUUCAUCUUCCUCAGCCUGACAAAGGUCCAGUCAGACAGACAUAACAUAAUAAGAGCAAUGCAAUCCAGAGCUAUUCCUCCUAUCAGCAAUGCAUAAGUAAGGCCAACAUCGAAUCUUCCAUAGUCUUUCUUGUCUUUGUAUUGGAAGAUGCGGAGCGCUGCUAUAAGGCAUCCAAGAGCAAUGAAUCUGAAGAUGACUCCUAUCCAAUUAUGAAGAAUCUCAGCUUUUGUGUAAAGAGCUUCGUAGAUGAAGUUGAGCUCAACCUCCAAGAUUCUUAGCGCUUCAUCUGGUUUUAGUUCGCUAAAGAAUCGCUUGCUUUCAGCUCGUUGUUGAAAGGUGAAGAUAAGAUCAACCACAAGACCUUUGAAGAUGUUGAAGUACUUAUAAGCAUACUGGAGAAUAUUAAGCUCAGUGAGGUUGUCAGGCUUAACCUUAGCACCGGCUUUUGGAUCUUUCUCAGGCUCCUCGAUCUUGAUAAUCUGUGUAGGCAUCUUCAUAACCUUCUUAGCCGCGUAUUCCUCCAUAAGCUUCGCGUAGUUUGGGCCAGGAUCAGGUCGUUGAAUCAUGGAAUCUUUAAACUUGUCAAGACUAGCUAGGUAUAACGCUAAUGUCCUCUCAACAUACUUGAUCACUCCUGUCGCAGAAACCAGCAAAAUGGGUCUCCACAGAUCAUUUGGUAACGACUGUAAAAACACGUAGACGGUGGCGAUUGCUUGAAAGGCAAGACCCAACAAGUGCCUAAGCCAUAGCUCAUUAUCUUCAAGCGCAAGGGCAGUGAUUGUAUCUGGACCACCGAGAUGCAAGAGCAAAAAAGGAACCCAAAAAGCUAAGAGUUUACUGUUAUUUUUAGGUUCCCCGGGUUCUGCAUCGUCUCCUUGACUAUCAGAGAUUUGUCCCGCUGCGAAGUUGGCUGCCCAAUCGGCAAGAAGAUAAGCGGACCAGAUGAGAGAGAGUAGUACCUUUCUGGAUGUGCGUUUCCUUUGAGGUGCAAAGAAAAUGAGAAACGAUUGGAGGCUGAGACUGAAGAUUAAGGUAGUUCGGAUACUCCAUGCGUCCCAUAUGUCUUUGAUAGGCUUAGGGAUUGCGUCCACCAUCUUGAAACAGAGUUAUUUCCUAAUUUGUUGGAACAAACAAGAAAUUAUGGUCUUUGAGACACAACACAUAUGCAUCUAAAGAGGUUUUGGACUUGUUUCUUUGUCUGUUUAAUUUUUUUUUUUUUUGGUGUUCAGUUAUUCUGUGCAGACAGCCAUUGGAAGCCUCUUGGAAGAGACCUGAGGUUAGUCAAACACUGUUCAUGUCGUCUUUCUUUUAUGUUUUUUAUUUGGCUUUACAUUUUGCAAAAACAUUUAUUUUUCAUGAUAUUUUUAAAAUUGUAUUAUUCCUGCUUUUUGUUUUCGUUCUUUAUACUAAUUUGUCAUUUCAUAAAAGGUUAAAACACUGAUUUAAACAAAACUCCCACUGGUUGGUAAAGGUGAGUAAAGUUCAAAAAAAAAAAGAUAUGAAUAGUGUGGAAAGGGAUAUAUGCUAUAUUUAUUUAUAUUUAAAAUACUUAGAGCUCUAUUUUAUAUCAAUAUGUUUGGAUCCUUGUGUAAAUUUUCUGUCUUGUUUUUGUUUCUAUAUAUCCUUAACGAAUCUCCGAUCAAAUACUCUCCAUGCGUUCCUAAAAAAUUCUUAUUCUAGAGAAAAUUUUUGUUUUAGAAAGAUACAUAUUUUAUACUACCUCCAUUCCUAAAUGUAGGAUAUUUUAAAGAAUUUCGAUGUUUCAAUAUAUAAGAUGUUUUCAUUUUUCUAGGUAAACUUUUAUUUUAUUAAAAAAUGUGCAACCAAUCAUAUUUGAUAAUCCAUUUUGUAAUCGGUUGAAUAACAUUAAUUUAUAGUUUUAAUGAUAUUUUCUAGACAAAACAAUGAUUUUUUAAAUAUACGUGUUUUUACUUAAAGAUCUUAUAUUUAGGAACAGAUGGAGUAUUUCCAAUGUAAUUUUUGUCAACUAAUAAUGAGAAAUUGUGAAGUUCAAGAAUGUUAAUUGCAUUUUAAAAAAUUUUAUUGGUUUAAUAAUAUAGAAAAUAUAAAAUUAUAAAAAACUAUGUAUUUAUAGAUACGUUUUCAUUUAUUUUAUUAAAAAUUGUGAAAAUUCUAAAAUAUUGAUUUUUUAAGAACAGAGAGAGAGUAGAUAUCAAGUACAGUAUGAGGUUCUGUAGGCCUGCUUUGUAAAUUGGAAUGAGAACAUUUGUUUCGUUCCCAUUCCCAGACAGAACAAAUUCUGCCCAUGUGAACACUAGUUACUUCUCCAAAAAAAACUAGUAAAAGUACAUUCAACCUCUAUAUUUAUAAUCUAACUAGAUUCUACUCUUUGAUUUUAAAGAGUGAAAUUAUAAUUUUUACAUAAUUUAUUUUAAUAAUUUUAAAUAAUUAGUUUAUCUUUUAAACAUAUUUGUAAACUGAUUUUUAUUUCUGUUUCUGAUAAAAUUCUUUUUAUUUAAUUUAAAAACAUGGGAUUUUAAAAUGUAAUAAACUCAAUUUAUAUUUUAAGACAAAAACUGAGUCUAUAUUUAGGUAUAUAUAUUUCAAUAAUUGUUACAAACUUAAUUAGUUAUUUAAACAAUAAUAAUUAAAAUAUCUAUAAGAUUUGGUUAUAAAAAAUAAGAAAUAUUCAAAAUUAAAAUUAUAUAUUCCCUGUUACAAUAAUAUAUAUUAUGUGUGAUGGUGUUUUCAUUAAAAUUUAUAAUUUGAAAAUAAAGACUAAACUAAUUUUAAUGAAAUGUAAACUAACUAAAAUUUGAAUAAAAUAAAUUGUAAAUCACACAUGGAAAUAAGGUUGUUUAUAUAUUAUGUUUCAAUUUUAAUUUUAAUAAGAUAGAUUCAAUAAUAUUAACAUCAUUUCUAAUCUUUUAUUAUAUUUUAUUUUAAAAGUUGGUGUAAAUGUCAAAGUUAAACGACAACCAUGUUAAUAUGAAAUUCCAUUAUUUUCAAAGGACCCUACUUGGAAGCAAUUAUUACAAUAUCAGCCAUAACUUUACAUCGAAAUAAGAUAUGCUUUUGUAGUCUAACAAGACUUUUCCCACGUCUUGUGAUGUGACCGCACAGGUGAUUAUUGUUUUGUUUGUUUUUAGUUUUUAGUUUUUGGUUCCUAGUUUUUAGUUUUUGGUUUUUAAAUUUUAGUUUUUAUUUUUUGGUUUUGCGGUAAAUUUUGGCUUUUUGAAAAUCAUGAGUGUUUUAGAUUUUGGUUUUUAGUUUUUGAUUUUUGCUUUUAAAAUUAAUAAAAUAUUUUUAUACAAAUAAAAUAUUUAUUCUGAAAAAUAAAAUAUAAAAUACACACAUCAAAACACACAUAAACUUAUUUAAUAAAAUUAUUUUAAAUAACAUUUGAGGUGUGAAAAAUAUUUAAAUAAGAACUGCAAAAAACAAUAUAAAUUAUCAACAAUAUAAUUUUUUGUAAUGACUAACUUCAAAUAAUUAAUUUUAUUUCUUUUGAUAAGUUAAAAUUUUUAUAGGAGUUAUUUUGCUUACAUGAGUUUAUUAUUAGAUAAAAUAUCAUUCAAAUAUUAUAAUAAUAUUAGUACAAUAAGCUUUGAUGAUUAGUAUAGAUGAAAUUUACUAUAAAUUAAAAAAGUGUCCAACAGUUUAUUAUUCGAUAAAAUAUUAUUCAAAUAUUGUUAUAGUUUUGGUAAAACCUGUGUUAUAAUAAAAACAGAUGUAAAAUACCUUACAUAGAUAUGCUCAGACAUUAUUAUUAGCAAUUAAAAAUGCCUUAGUAAUGGGUCUUACGUAUUAUAAUCAUAGGUAUUACCCAAAUCAUGACUUACGUAAGUUGUAUAUAUAUGUAAUAAUAGAUAAACGUAAAAGAAGUUUCAAGCAACAAAACUACAAAAAACUGAUUUUUGGUUUUUGUUUAGAAGUUGCCAGUUAUUUAAAAAACUAGUUUCCUUAUAUUUUAAAAAAACUAUUUAUCAGAAAAUUUGAUUGGGUGAAAAAUGGUUUUUGGAGAAACAAAAACCAAAAGCUAUUCCAAAAACCAGAAACAAUCGACCUGGCAAUGGCAGGAAACCUACUUGGAAGCAAUUAUUACAAUAUCAACCAUAACUUUACAUCGAAAUAAGACAUGCUUUUGUAGUCUAACAAGACUUUUCCCACAUCUUGUCAUGUGACGACACAAUUGCAGGAAACCAUGUUGGCAUUCAUAGGCUGUAAUGUGAUCCAGAACAAAUGCAGAAAUAAUGCAGGAUAUUUAAUUUGCAGAUAGAACUGCAUUUGUUACCCAUUCAUGUUUAUAAUGCAGAACUGGAAAAGGUAAAAAAAAACUAAAAACUGACCUGAAUGCAGAUUGGUUUUGUCUUUGAUUAUUUGUCCCGCAGAUUAUAGAAGAAAAGGUUCUGGCGAGAGGCAGAGGGGCAAAAUGGCCUGAUUUUUUUUUUUUAAGUUCCUUGAUUAUAAUCACUCUUCAUUAUUACACUUGAUUUUAUAGGCCUCGAACGGAUCGGGUAUCCGGGAAAUUUUAAGGUAUCCGGAUCCGGAUCCUUAUCCGGCGGAUCUAUAAUUUUACUAUCCUUAUCCGGAUCCGCGGUUCUCGGAUUCCGGACCUUCUAAAAAUUGUAAUAUCCGGCGGAUAUCCGGAUCCGAAUUUAGAUCCUUAAAAUAAAUAAAUAAAAUAAUAUUAAUAUAUAUAAAAUAUUAACAAUAAUUUAAAACAAAAAAUAUAUAAUGUUUUGAAUUAUUUCUAGGGUUUUCUGCAAAAAACCCUCAAUGUGGUUUUUUUUUUCAAAUUAAUCCGCGAACUCAAAAACCCACGGGUCAACCCUCCAAGUGCCAGUCAAACCGCAAUAUAACCCUCGGCCGUAUUUAUGUGUAUUUGACUGUGUAUAAUUUUAACAUUUUUUCAAUAAUAGGUCGUUUUGGCGCUAAUUUUUUAAUGAAAAAAAUUUGUUGAACUCGUGGUUUGAAAUUUGAACCUUAAAUACCAUGUGCAUGCUAUAUAACCAUCUCGGCCAACAAAUAUAUUUGUUUACUUAACAAACGCAAUUAUAUAGAUUUCUAAAACGAAAUGACCUUGUUUUUCUCGGACAUGGGAGCUUGCGUAAAUGCACAAUGAAGGUGGAGUUCAACAAAUUUUUUUCAUUAAAAAAUUAGCGCCAAAACGACCUAGUAUUGAAAAAAUGUUAAAAUUAUACACAGUCAAAUACACAUAAAUAUGGCCGAGGGUUAUAUUGCGGUUUGACUGGCACUUGGAGGGUUGACCCGUGGGUUUUUGAGUUCGCGGAUUAAUUUGCAAAAAAAAAUCACAUUGAGGGUUUUUUUGCAGAAAACCCUUAUUUCUACGUAUAAAAUUACAAAACUUACGUAAAAUUUACAUAUACUAUUAUAAAAAUGAAAAUAUAUUAAAUAAAAUUAGUUUUUAUAUAUAGAUAUUACUAUUUUUGAAAUAGUUAUUAAUAAAACUUACGGAUCCAGAUAUCCGGACUAAAAAAUCAUGAUAUCCGGAUCCGGUUUUAGCGGAUCCAACAUUUUACAAUCCGGAUCCGGAUUAGGCCCCUCCGGAUAUCCGGAUUUUCAGAUGGGAUCCGGAUCAAAUCUCAGAUCGAAUCCGGAUCUCGGAUAAAAUUCUCGGGCCUAUUCAUUUACUUAACAAAUUAAUUGUUUUCUCAGAAAUAAAGUUUGUUAAUUUUUUCAUUAUAAGUUAUAGUACUGGACAUAUUUUUUUUAUUACAAAUAAAAAAUGAUAAUUACCUUGUGUCUAAUUAGUUUUUAUAUUUUCAGGUUGUCUUUACAUCAAUUAAAAAGAAUUCAAAAAUUCAAGGAGUAUUUUAAUUAGCUCAUUAAAUAAAUUCUAAAACAUUUAGGAUGUUUAAAAUAACCUAUAAAUACUUUUAUCUUCUAUUUAUUUUUUAAAAUUCACAAACAGUUGCAUAAUUUAUUUUAUUAAAAAAACUAAUUAAAUUAUAAAUUAACUAUAAUUUUUAAACAUUAAUACAAAAUUUAUAUAAAACUUCAUGCACGCAUAUAUAUAAACAAAAAAAUAUUUUUUUUUAGUUUUAUGCAUUUACUUUCAUAUUUGGUAAUUCAUAUUUAACUGCAUAUAAUUAUAAAUUUUAAAUUUUAAUUAUAAUUACUUAAUAUCAAUGAAACAACACAUUUUUCUUACAUAUACAUUUAUGCAUUUUUAUAUUUUUAAAUUUAAAAUAAAGGUUUUGUUGAUACAAUAACAUAUAUAUAUAUAUAAUUUGACAAUGUCAGUUCUAUAGGUUAACCAAACGGUAAUAAAAAACCAAAAAUUGAAUAAAUAUAAAAAAAUAAGAACAAAACAAGAAUAUUCUUUAUAAUUUUUGUAAUUUUGAUGAUUUUUCAUAUAAUUUUAAAAUCACUAUAUUUAUUAAAAUGAUGAUAUUUAUUGUUAUUUUGUCAACUUGAUAUUUAUUGCUUAUAUAUAAUAAGUUUAAUUUUAUUUAAAAUUUUAAUUUUUAUGAAAAAAUAAAAUAUUUAAUUAAAUAUAAUAAUUUAUUAAAUUAGAUUGAUCUGCAUUUGUUCUGUUUGAUAUGUAUGAUCUACAUUUCUUCUGUUUGAUCUGCAUUUUUGUCUGUAUUUAUUCAUCUGCGUUAUCUAUUCGAAGUCAUAGUCCAUUGCUACGCAUUUAAUAUUACCCGGACAGUUGGACUAUUAUUGCUCUUGAGCCGGAUACUUGGAUGUAUACUUUAAAAAGUUGCAUAAAUAAAUAGUUAUUCCUGGGUACACCUCCUAGGUUAAAAUUUUUAGGUUCACCGACUAAUAGAAUUUCAUUAUUUCAAAUUCGAUAUUUAAAAAAAAAAAAAAAAUAUUGUCAAAUUAUAUUAUGUUUUUAAAAUAAAAAGGUAAAAAAAAAAUAGUAGUUACAGAAAAAAAAAUUAAAAAAAAUCUUUUUAACGUCGUCAGCAAAACACUAAACCCUAAAUCUUAAUCCCAAAACCCUAAAUCCUAAAUUCUUAACCCUUGGGUAAACCCUAAACCCUUAAAUAAACUCUAAACCCUUGGGUAAACUCUAAACCCUUGGGUAAAUCAUAAACUCUCGGAUAAAUCCUAAACUCUAAAUAAAAACACUAAACCCUAAGACUUUAAACCCUAAAUCCUAAAUCCUAAACCCCAAACCCUUGAGUGUUUUAAUGUUUAGUGAUUUUGAUUUAGAGUUUAAGAUUUAUCCUAGAGUUUAGGGUUUACCCAAGGGUUUAAGGUUUAGGAUUUAGGGUUUAGGGAUUAGGAUUUAGGCUUCGAAUGGUGACUGCGGUUUGAACGGUGCGGAACAAGCGGUUCAACUGCGGUGCGGUUUUAACAGUUAUAAAAACGUAUCGAUAUAUGGUAUACGUUAAUAUUUUUGUUACUGUUAACUGCGGUGCGGGUCGGAACGGUUAUAAACAUUCGAAGCCUUAGAGUUUAAUGUUUUGCUGACGACGUUAAAAAUAUUUUUUUUGUAAAUACUACUAUUUUUUAUUUAUUUUUUUACAAUUUAAUUUUAAAAGAUAAUAUAAUUUGAUAAUAUUUUAUUUUUUUUAAUAUAUCGAAUAUGAAUUAACGUGGGGGUGGGGUAAAGGGAGAAAUUCCACUCAAGCUACCCUGCGUGGGCUCAUGAGUGUAUCCAUUUAUCUGUUAGAUAAUAGGUUGUGUUAUCUUUGGUUUACGAGAUUAGCUGGCUCUGAGACUAUCCAAAGUUAGGCAUGGGCAAAAUAAUCGGAACCGAAGAACCGAAUCAGAACCAAACUGAAAUAUCCGAAACUGGAAUCAGACCAAUACCUUCAAAUACCCAAACGGUUUCUAUAUUUUUAUAUCCAAAAUAACCGAAUCGAACCAAGAACCGAACGGGUACCCGAAUAUAUAAAAAUAUUAAUUAUAUACAUAUAACAUCAUUAAAUAAAUAUUUUUAAUUUAAAAUUCUAUUAAAAGUAUCUGAAAAUAGUUGAGGAUAACUAAAUUAUUAUAAAGUAUCCAAACUACUCGAAAGUAUCUGAAACUCUCCGGAUAGUUUUAUCCGAAAUAUCCAAAGUAAUCCGAAAUAUCUAAAUUUUUUAUCUAAAUCAUCCUAAUUAUUUGAUAUUUUACUCUAAAUAACCGAUAUUUUAUCCAAAUUAUCUGAACUAUCCGAACUAUCCGAACCGGAUCCAAAAGAGAAUCGAACUCCGAAUAUUUUCCGGUUCCUACAUUUACUAUCCAAACCGAACCGAACCCGAAACUAUCUGAACCGAACCGAACCAAAAAUAGGUCAAGUACUAAAUGGAUCCUCUAGCCCCUAUCUGAACUACCCGAAACCCGAAAUACCCGAACCGAACCGAACCGAUAUCCGAAAUGUCCAGGCCUAUCCACAGUGAUAAAACAAUUCAAUAUCCUCAUUUUUUCUUUUUAACGUUUCACAUUAUUUUUCACCUAAUUAUUCAAUAUUCAAUUCAUUUUUAACCUCUAAUAUAAUUUUAUUUAAUAAAAUUCAACACACUACUCCACUAUUUCUAAUUCAUCUUCUUUUUAUAUUUUAUAAUUCAAUAAUUAUAUAUUAUAUAAUAAGUUUGAUUAUAAUUAACUUAAAUAAUUUAAAUAAGAUAUUUUUUAUUAUUAACUUUUAAAAAAAUAUAUAAAAAGUAAUAUUAUUAAAACAAAUAAAAUUAGAAGAUUUAAAUACAUACAAUAUAACACACAGAACAACAAAUUAAAAACACACAACUUAUUUGGUACAAGAAACUCAAAUAAAAACACACAACUUAUUUUUUACAAUAAAUACAAUCAUAAACAACAAAUUAAAAUUUUGUAUUCAGUUAUUUAGACAGCCAAUAGAAGCCUCUGGGAGGAGACCUGAGGUUAGUCAAACAUUGUUCAUGUCGUCUUUCUUUUAUGUUUUUUAUUUGGCUUUACAUUUUGCAAAAACAUUUAUUUUUCAUGAUAUUUUUAAAAUUGUAUUAUUCCCGCUUCUUGUUUUCGUUCUUUUGGUUUUGAGAUUUUUUUUCUCAGAUUGACUUGAGAAAUUUGGGGUCUUGUGGAAUAAUGUUUUUGGGAAGCUGUUGAUGCUCUUUUUUUUUCACCAGAGGCUCACUCAUGACUCGGGUAAGAGACGACUCAGGGACUCACUCAAGUCUAGCUGUUCUGUUUUCUUUCAACGAAUUAAUAAUAAACUAUUUUUCAUUUUUCGUACAUUUAUUGCAAAUUGUUUAUUAAAUAAAAAAUAUUCUUUAAAGGAAAGUUCGUUAUUUUUUUGUGGGAAACGACUUUAGCUUAUAGGUCUUUCUUUAUGCUGAAUAAUAAUAAAAUCAAAAGUGACAGCUGUUGGGUACAAUAAUUAAAAGAAAAUAUUACAUUCAAGGUCACUUUCAUCUUUUAUAUUACACCACUAGACACUUUGCUCUCUUAAGACACUUUUCCUAAUUUCAAUGCACGUUUGUUUAGGUUUACUAGUUGAAACAUAAGUAAAUUGUAAUUAGUAGGUCCCAUUCUUUUUUUCUGUUUCUUCUUCCUCAAAAUUCUUUUCCAUAUCUCACUAGUUUGCUUUUACAAUUUUUUUGAUGUUUUGAUUUUUUUUUUCACUAACAGAAUUACAAAAUUUAAAAUAAAGCUUCACAGAUCUUGGUAUUCAAAUCCUAGCCAAUUUAACUAUAUUUUCUCUCAUAUCUUAUUAGAGAGUCAUUAGAUCUAGAAGAUGUAACUAAUGAGAGAGAGAAAGUUUGAUUUGCAGAAAAAACAAAAGAUGGAAGAAGAUGGGAUGCUGUUACCGUGAUAACAGUUUCUACGAUGCAGGGCCGGUCCUGGCUAAGCCCAUUGAAACAUUUGUCUUAGGUCCCUAUUUUUUAGAGGUCCCAUUUCUAGAAAAUCCAAUAUACAUUAUAAAACAAAAAAAAAAUUUAAUGAGAUCACACGAACUUGGCUAUAUCACGUUGGUUUAAGUUUUAACAACCAAAGUCCAUUUGAAUAGGCCAAAGAACACAAUAAUGUAAGUAGCCCAAUAAAUCAAAAAGAGUAAAAAUCCACAAAGCUAAAAAAAAUUUGGACUAACGUAUUUCAUUUUUUUUUUGUCUUCGACUCUUGCACUUGCUUUCCCUGUCAUAACUUGGAAGCCAAAAACACAAUUUCAAAACAGAAUUUCAUUACUCCUUGUCAAUUGCUUGUGUUUAUAUCAGAAGAAAAAUAUCGGCAUAAACUAUCAGUUCAUUUGUUCAUUUUUUUGUAUAGAAACUUAUGUUUUAUCAUUGGUUUAGUAUUUUAUAUAUGAACUAUGUUUAUAAGUUUGUUUUUGGGAUAUUUUUGUGAUGUAAGAUAUAGGCCCCUAUUUUUUAUUUCGUUUCAAGCCCCCGAAUUUUCAGGACCGGCCCUGCUACGAUGUCACCGAGAAUCGUGACAGAUUUACUCUGGCUGUGACUCUUAUUUGAACCACCGGAAACAGCCCAUCUUUAGACUCCGACUCAUCUUUCCCGGUGUCGUGACCUCACCUCUUGUCGUCUAUGUUCCGUCACGAGCUCGCGUCUCUGCUCCGUAGAAAGCAUCAAUGGCCAAUUUUUGCUUUUUUGCACAUUUGGUCCUUUAUUUUGUGUAAUUCAUUUCUGAUCUCAAACUCUUUAAUAGUACAAAUAACUCUUCGUAUUAACCCCUUUCUUCUUUAUUGUUAAUUCCAAAACCCUUCAUAAAAAUUGCAUGAAUGGUCUCUUGUCUUUUAAUUACUUUCAUUUCCGCCCCCCCCCCAAAAUUCUAAAAUAAACAAUUUUCUCUUUGAUUUCAUCUCAAACUUAUCAAUUGCAUACUCUAACCUAUGUUAAUGCAAUUUAACAUGCAUAUAUACACUAAAGACUUUUAAAGCCAAAUGUACAACUCAUGUCAGUCUAUCGUACUUUUGAACUUUGGGUUUCACUGAUCAAUUGUACAUGUAGAUGUUUGUGGGACUAUGUACAUGAUGAUUAUUGUACAUCUGGAUAAGCAAAUGUAUGUGUACACGUCUCAUUUGCCUAAACAUCAACAUAAUAAUUCAUUUGAAACUCCUUAAGAUAUUUGUUUCAUGUUGGUGCAGGGAUAAGGUAAAGAAAGCACUCUGGCCAAAGUUUUAUUUUGGAUUAAAUUAGAUUCCUCUUCACAAUCAACUUGCGAAUCAACUUCAUAAUGUUUUGUAUGCUUUGUAUAAUGAUACAAAGUUUCAUAUUCUUCUACCACUUUAUCUUUGAAUGGACUUUACCUAAUUUAUCAAUAUUGUACACAUUUACGGUAUCAUAUUUGUUGUACACAUGUACUCCACAAAAUAUUAAUGUACACACACUAGGGAUGUGCACUACUUUACAAUAUGUAUCCACAUUAGAUUUACAUUGUUUUGUGGACAUAUAAGAUUAUGAUAGAGAUAUACAGAAUGUCAUUAAGAUAAAAUAUAAUAUAUAUAUUGGACAUAUGACCAUUGGCAAAACAACAAGAGACAUUUUCCAUGAUGCUUUGUCCAUGCUUAUAUUUUUGAGAGGUCGUGUAAUCUUUAGCUCAUCAUUUGAUAGUGUAUAUGUCUUUUUUUUUUUUUUUUUGACAAAAGAUUUAAAAUGACUAUUUAUAUUUGUCUAAAAUUGAUAGUGUAUAUGUCAAACAUGCAAACACCUUUAGAUUUGUUCAAAAAAAAAAAAAAAAAUUACUAAUCAUGUGUUGGCGAGGUUCUUUGAUUGUGAUAUGUAAAUAGCAUGGAAACCUUCCAAAUGUAGCUUUCAGUGUAUAACACAGUGUAUCUGUGAAAUAUUUCUCCGCAAACCUUGUUCCAUCAAUCUGUAACGUGGGAGCAUGCUUCCAUGUAAAAAGAUUAUUGUUUUGUGUAUAAUUUGAUUUCGUACACUCCGCAUCGUGUACACAUGUACAUUGAAGGUCAAUAAAAAUAUGUGGCUAUAAUGUCACAUAUAGGUGGAUUAGGGUUGAUUACUCAAAAUGUCAAAAUAUAUAAUAAAAUAGAUCAAAUCAAACUAAUGAUAGGUGUACACAUUGUUAUGUGUGUUAUUUAUGUCUAAUGGUUGUAAUGUCAAACGACGACAGUGUAAAAAACAUACAAACGCCAGCGAGGACUGGAGCUUCGAAACAAGGCAUGGCGGUGGUGGAUCGAGCUAGGCACAGCUCAGGUAUUGUUGGUUGGAGAAGAGUACACGUUAUGAUAAAAUGGAGGACGUCGAGAAUGGAUCUUCACCGACAAAAGGAUGAAACACAAUAAAUCAAAGCUAACCAAACAGAAAAACAAAAAAAGUCAAAGAAAAAUAGUUUACUGUUUUUAUUCUGGGUUUCAAAACUUUAAAAGAUUUAAAAAAAAAAAAAAAAAACUUUAAAAGAUUUAAAACAAAAGUAAAGAGAAAAGAAACAAGAAACUUUUGUGGGCCAAGGGUAACAAAUCAAAAGCUAAAUAAAUACACAAGGGUGACGAAAAAAAGGUUUAUGGUUUCACUUUUUCAGGGUCAGCAGAGUCUUUAACCACCUAAAACUAUCCAAGUAGCACAAAGUGAUCUUCUAUGUAAUUAAAAGUCAAAAACUGAACUGCAGUGUAAAUCACUCUAAUUAAAAGUUCAUGUUAUCAGAAGUUGAGCUAGCGUCGUUUAUGGAUAACUAGACCCUGGUCCGCGCGCCAGCGCAGAUAUGAAUUUUCGGUUUUUAAUUAUUUAUUUUAUAAAAUAUGUAUUUGUAAUAUUUGUUUAUAUUAUAUUUAUUAAGUAAAUAUAUUUUUUUUUGCAUCUUAACCUAUUUAUUUAUUUACGAAUGUGUGAUAUCAUAUAAAAAAUAUAAAAAAUGAGUAUAGAGUUAAUUAGAUAAUUUUAAAAACAGAAAUUUUUCUUUCGUGUGCGAUAUCAUAUAAAUAAUGAUCCGCCCAGUUAACAAAAAUCAUGAUUAUUUUAUGUGUAAUUUUUUUUAUUUUGACCAUUUCCUUAAAACUAUAUUAAAUUUUACAUAUUUUAAUUAGAAUAUUUUUAAUAUCUUUACCUUUUUAUUUGAAAUGCAACUCAAUAUUUUUUUAACAAUUAUAACAAAAUAUUUAAAAAAUAUUUUUAGAAUUUGUUUGAAAAAUAUGAAAAUUACAUUUUAAAUUAAAAUUAUCCUAAAAUAUGAUAAGUUUUGAUGUAAACGAAAACUCAAAUUAUGUCAAAAAUAAUGAUAUUCAAUGAUAAUAACAAUUUUAAUUGAUUAUUUUUUAAAAAAUACAUUUACAAAAAUAUUGUUCGAAAGAAAAUUCAUUUAUCUUUCAAAUAUAAUAUGAAAAUAUUAUAAUUAAAUAAUAAAAAAUAUAAAUAAAAACCAUAAAUUUAGCAAAUGACAACUGACUUAUAUUAUGUUAAAACUUUCUUUCUAACAAUUUAUCAAAUGACAAAUGAGUUAUGAACAAAUAAUACCAUAUAAUUUUUAAAAACAUAGCCACUCUUAAAUAUUUUUUGAAUAAAUAAUUAUUUUAAAAUUUAAUCAACUGAAAAUAAUAUCCGUACAAUUGUGUGAGUCAAAUUCUAGUUUUAUUGAUGCAUGUUAUAUAUUAGUGCUGCAUGUUUUAGGUAACAUUUUAAUGAUGCACGUUUUUAAAAAUCUCCAUUAUUAAAAUUAUGCACGUAAGGAUAACUCAUGAGUUUUUUUGGUUGAUUAAAUGACAUUAUGUCCAAAUUUAUUUAAGGAUAUUUCAUUAAGGUAACUGAAAAAGACAAACAAUAAAAUAGGAAGUUUAAAUUCAUUUAAGCAUAUUUCAUUAAUGUAACUGAAAAGACAAGUAAUAAAUUAGACAGUUUUAUUCGUUUUAGGAUAUUUCAUAAAUGCAACUGAAAAAGACAAGCAAAAAAAAAGGGAGUUUAAUUAAUGAAGUAAGAACAUUUUCAAAUGGGUACUUCUCUUUUAAUAAUAUAGAUACGUUAAUCAACUAAAAUCCAAUUUGAAUCUUUAAUACCAUGAUUAAAAAUCCCAAGAGCAUGAUUAUAUUUUGUUUAUAUAUUGUAUUCCCACCAUUUUUUUUAAUAUAAGUCAUUUUAGAAUUGUGCACAUAGAUUAAGAAAAUCAUUAUUUUUUAUAUUUUCUAAACAAAAACAUCAUUAAUUAUUUAUUUAACCACAAAUCAACUAAUAAUAAAAUAGAAGGUAUAUUAUUAUUGAUCAUAUAAUAUUAAGUGUUAAUAAAUUUUACAUAGAAAACCGAGAACGUCAUAUAAUUUGGAACAUAAAUAUUUUUUCAAAAACGACUUAUAUUAAAAAACGGAGGGAGUAAUAGAAUUUUCGGUACAUUACUUUAAGACUGCCCACUCGUUAGUCUUAUCUUUACUCAAGUCUGUAUUUUUAAUUGUUUGUUCUCUGUUUAAAUCAUUUUAACGGUUAAAUAAUAAUAAUAAUAAUAAUAAUUUUAACAUUUAUGUCAUCACUUUCCUAGAUUCUUUUAAGCAUUUCGAUCAUUAGGAGAAUUGUCUUAUGGAUCUCACGAACUAACCAAGCUCACAAAAAUGAAUGUAUCAGCCAAGCAGAAGAUAAACAAGGAUAUGAGCUACAAUGCAGAUGAUAUAAUUGCUGGAAAUGAUACAAUAGAUGCAAACAGUUCAAGAUAUUAUUCUUUGAAACGACAAAAGAACACAACAAAAGCAAACGGAGGAAACUAAUGUUGCUGCCGGUUAUUAGAGGAUCACUUGCCUAUAACCAGUUUAGCUCUAGCAUCUCCUUGGUUGAUCUGGAACUGAUCUCCUAGUCCAAAAUGAGCCAUCAACAGCCACACAAAGCUGAUGAGUUCUCCACCUUUGCUUAGCUGAGCUGCGUGUUCUAUAGCGCCACACUUAGUUGCUGCAUAACAAAGCAACUCAGCCCACACUUUGUUCACUACUUCCCACAUGUAUGCCUCUCCCUUGGCCUUCUUCAAGCCAUCCUUUAACUCUGGAAGCUCUUUUAAACCCUUAAGCUCUUUGGCCAACAUGCUCCCAUCAAACAGCACCGACUUGCUUUUAUCACCUUUCACGUCAAUAGGUUCAGCUUUUGUCGGAGCCGUCACAGAUAAAAUCGCCUCACUAGCCAUCUUUAUGUCUCUGGAUUCGAUAUGCCUUCUCUUGAAAAACCUCUUAGCCUCCUCGCAUGUAUCCCUGAAUCUUAUCUUUCCAAUACCCACAACAGCUGACAUCAAAGUAGGUUGCAUCAUCAUGAGGUACAUCAUGUAGUCUGAAAGGAUUUUACUAAACUCACGAUCACUAUGACUCUCUUCAGUGGCUGGUUCUGAUUGGUAUAAGAGCUCAGUUGCAAUAUGCCACACAAGAAGACUCUGAUCAUAGUCCAUUUCCAUCACAUAGCGUAGAAGCCUCUCACGCUUUUUCUGUGUCUCUCUGUCUUCACCUUGUAUGUCACGCUGACUCCAGUCACCUCUAGCUGAAGAGACCCUCAUGGUGCUUUCCGAGUCGUCAGCGAAACGGGAUUUAUUCAAAACCUCUCCAAAUAUAUGCUCCCACAGAUCAAGAGUGACACGAUCACUUGAUGUGUAGAUAAUCUCCUCAAACUGAGCUUGUAUCCCAAAGAAGUCCAUGAACUUUCUUGUCAGAUAACCAAGAAGAUGAAAAAUGACGAACGUCCAAUAGAUCCAACUCCUAAUAUAAUCUUCCUUUAACCAUUUUAUGUUCUUGCAUAAAACACUUAUUUUUCAAACCACUUGUAAACAUUAUGACCCACUUGCUUUAUACUGUGGAAACAGAAUGCAAUUGCUUUUCCAAUGGCUUCAAAGACAACUCCAAUGCAAAAAACCUCGAUAAACCAGUCAAAGGACAUGUGUAUGAA
rnacentral:lncRNA from 1 species